AGUGAACGCUGGCGGUAGGCCUAACACAUGCAAGUCGAACGGCAGCACAGUAAGAGCUUGCUCUUACGGGUGGCGAGUGGCGGACGGGUGAGGAAUACAUCGGAAUCUACUUUUUCGUGGGGGAUAACGUAGGGAAACUUACGCUAAUACCGCAUACGACCUACGGGUGAAGGCAGGGGAUCUUCGGACCUUGCGCGAUUGAAUGAGCCGAUGUCGGAUUAGCUAGUUGGCGGGGUAAAGGCCCUCCAAGGCGACGAUCCGUAGCUGGUCUGAGAGGAUGAUCAGCCACACUGGAACUGAGACACGGUCCAGACUCCUACGGGAGGCAGCAGUGGGGAAUAUUGGACAAUGGGCGCAAGCCUGAUCCAGCCAUACCGCGUGGGUGAAGAAGGCCUUCGGGUUGUAAAGCCCUUUUGUUGGGAAAGAAAAGCAGCAGGUUAAUACCCCGCUGUUCUGACGGUACCCAAAGAAUAAGCACCGGCUAACUUCGUG
rnacentral:rRNA from 1 species